CCCCAACAAUGGAGACUGCCUUGCCGUGGCGUUGGGGCUUCACACCAACUGGAGUGUGACUAGAUGUCUC
rnacentral:ribozyme from 1 species